ACAGGUUGAUAUGUCUUAAUCAAUUAUUUACUCAUGCAUCAACAAAUAUGUAAACCUUAAGGAAAAAAUGAUUAAUUUAUGUCAACAGAUUCUACAUCUUAUCGCAAUAUCUAAUCUGAAUAUUACAAAUGAUCAUAAUUAGCCCUAAUUAAUUCAGUUUGCUACAAAGAAAUAGGCGAUAAAGUCCGAGUAAUCCAAUAGCUUAGGACCUAUCUAUUUAUAGGGAGUACUCAGGGGAGGUUAUUCACUACUGUCCCUCAUUGGGAUGACAAUUACUUCUUAUAUCAAAUUUAUAGCUGUUCAUUCUUUUUGAUACCUGUUGAUGGGUCUGGCCGACAUAUUGUAUUUUACAUUUUUUACAAGUAAUUAAAUAAAUCACGUUACUAGAAGUACAAUUUCCAUCAAAAUGCAUUUCGAAUGUUUCUCCAAUAUUUGUAGUUGUGAAUUUACUAUUUUCUUCAAUAUUAUUACAGUGAGUACAUCUUUUUCUAUUACACUUAUUAGUUUUACCGUUCAUAAUCCGUUUAUUUAGAGUUGAAUGGGUAAGGGAAUCUUGAAGAUUUUUGGGACGGCUGUAUGCUAAGAUUGGUUUAUGAUUAUGUAAAUUUUUAACACUGUCAUUUUCUGACAACAUUAAAAGAUCCCAGUAUUUAUUUAUUAUAAGACCAAGAUGGGGAAGAGACGGAUUAUAUGGGAUAACAAAUGAUUCGGAAUAAAGAUCAGACGCCAAUACUGACACAGAAGGCGGAAGAAGCCAGCCGGUGUCUGUUUACCCAUGUCACGGUCAAGGUGGGGACCAGUUUUGGUUGCUAAGCGCCGACAACGAGUUCAGACGUGACGAAUACUAUUAGGAUACGCCAGACGGUGUACAGGUCAAAAUAUACGGUUGUCAUGGGGCAAAGGUCAUCAAGAAUUUUUUUACAGAAGUGUAAGUGAAAGAAAAAGGACAAGAAUAUAAGUGACAAAAUGGUUACUUUAAGACUGAACCAUUCUGAAACCAAGGAUACUUGUUUGUUUUUGUGUAAAAUGAAAUGAAAUUAUAUCUUACACGAAAGACAAAUAUAUUUUCUUUUUAUCUUUAAUAUGCUUAAUUUGAUACUAAUUAAAUCACAUAGAGGAUAUUUGUUUAGUUCAGUGUAAGAUCGGAAUAUAUUUCACCGAGUGAGCACCAAAAGGAAUAUUUCACGAGUGGCGCAGCCACGAGUGAAAUAUGAACUUUUGGUGUCCACAAGGUGAAAUAUAUUUCAAUCUUACACUAAACUAAACAAAUUUUCUUUUUAUAACAUGCAAAGAAACGUUUUAAAUAGACAUUUAACCUAAUACUGAAUGAAAAGCGCGCCAAAUAAUAAUACAACGUGACGUCAUUUACGACGUCACGUCAUUAAGUGGGUACCCAAUACUGUGCACGCUGGUAUUUCACUGAAACAACGUAAGGGGCUUAAAUUCAAAACAGUGAAAUUAACAAAGUGUUAAUUUCACUGUUUCAAACAGUGAAAUUACCAGUUUUAUAUCACUGAUAUAUAGAGGAUAUUUGUUUGUUUGUGUGUAAGAUGAAAUUUUAUUUCAUCGAGUGGGCUUUAAAAACAGUAUUCUCACGACUGGCGUAGCCACGAGUGAGAAUACUGUUUUUAAAGUUUACGAGAUGAAAUAAAAUUACAUCUUACACAACAAACAGACAAAUUUUCUUUUUAUUUUAUGCUUUAAAACAAGUUAAAACGAAAUUUCCAUAAUUUUAACGUUAAUAUUAAAACUGUUUCCCCCAUUGAGAGCCCCAUUCAGAGGGAAUUUCUCAUUAAAAACGUGAUAUUUAUUCAUUUUAUUAAAAAAAUAUGAAUGAUCGCUUGUUUUAAUAAUAAAAACAAACAAUUCUUGUAGGAGAAAAAGUCCAACCAUCCAUCCAUAUUUCUGUUACUUACUGCGAAUUUAUAUUAGACCUGGCUUUGUAAACUGUAAGCGGCAGCCAUAUUUUAAAGUUGUGUAUUUAAUGGGAGGAAAAUAAUUGUGUAAGAUUCCGAAGGAUAUAAUUUGGAUUUGUUAGUCAUACACCUUUUUAAAAGAAAGAAAACUUAUUUGAGGAAUGUAACAGACAAAAAAUAAGUGUUGACAGAAGUGAAAACAUUCAGAAAAGGAGCUAGGAAAAUGGAAAACUUGGAAGCUUGCUAAGGCAUUGUAAAGAACGCUGGGUUGUUUUACUUAUUUUACGAGUGAUGGCUGUCAAUGCUUUUCAAUUUUUUUCAUAAAGCAUACGGCAGUUAUUGCUCGUAGGAUACUUUAAUAUGCCCAAAUGUCAUCAAGAGCAGUUUAGCAUGGGGAAGGAAUGUAUUUUUCAGACAGUAAAAACGAAACAAAAAAAAUCUAGAGACGAAAUUUUGUGAUUGGAAUUUGAAGGAAUAGAAGUAAGUUUUCUCUCUUUAUUACUUUUGACAUUUAAGUUAUUUAUCUAUUUCAGCUUUGCUAUUUUUUUAACAGCCUGAUAUUGUCAGAAUUGUCAGUAAAAAUAAAAUUGAGGUACCACAUGGGGAAAAUCUUAAAAAAGUAGUUUUGUCAUUGAAAAAAGUGAAAUUAUAUUUUGAUAAUUUUCACUGUGAAAUUAUCAAAUAUAAUUUUCACGGAUAAAUCAGUAAUCCACUGAAAAGCAUAAAAUAAAUUUCU